rnacentral:rRNA from 1 species
GACGAACGCUGGCGGCGUGCUUAACACAUGCAAGUCGAGCGGUAAGGCCCUUUCGGGGGUACACGAGCGGCGAACGGGUGAGUAACACGUGGGUGACCUGCCCUCAGCUCUGGGAUAAGCCUGGGGAAACCGGGUCUAAUACCGGAUAUGACUCCAUGACGCAUGUUGUGGGGUGGAAAGCCUUGUGCGGCUGAGGAUGGGCCCGCGGCCUAUCAGCUUGUUGGUGGGGUGAUGGCCUACCAAGGCGACGACGGGUAGCCGGCCUGAGAGGGCGACCGGCCACACUGGGACUGAGACACGGCCCAGACUCCUACGGGAGGCAGCAGUGGGGAAUCUUGCGCAAUGGGCGAAAGCCUGACGCAGCGACGCCGCGUGAGGGAUGACGGCC